rnacentral:misc_RNA from 1 species
CCAAACUUGGUCAUUUAGAGGAAGUAAAAGUCGUAACAAGGUUUCCGUAGGUGAACCUGCGGAAGGAUCAUUAAUGAAAUCGGAGGGAGAGAUCCCUCCAGUGGGGUGUGCUGUAGCUGGCCUUUCGGGGCAUGUGCACGCACGCUUCGCAAAUCCACUCACACCUGUGCACUUCUGCGUGGGUCGGUCUGGUAUUCUAAACCUAGCCGGCUUCACGUCCUUUCACACACUCUUGUAUGUCAUAUGAAUGUCUAGUGAUGUUAUAAACGCAUCUAAUACAACUUUCAACAACGGAUCUCUUGGCUCUCGCAUCGAUGAAGAACGCAGC